rnacentral:lncRNA from 1 species
UCUCUCAUCAUCUAGUCAUCCCCUAAAGUCAAUUUCCAUCAUAAGGGAGCAGCAGACCACAAGGUACUUUACCUUGCUUGGUCACAAGUCUCCAUCCCCAGGCAUCCCAGAGAAAGAGAACUGAUGAACUCUGAGUGCACAUUAAAGCAUACUUAAAAAAAAAAUAAAGCUGUUACUUGGUGAAAAUCAUUUGCACUCACACUGUGGAUCACGACCAAGUUAAAAAGGAAAUGGAUUUCAUUUUUGGGUGAGAAACCUUUGUAUUCUACCUCUCCUUGGCUGACACUGAUUGCAUCCAAGAUUUUAGGAGUGCUCCAAUAUGUGAUUGCCAUUGAAAAUACAGAAGACAACAGGAGUGGAGUUCAGAGUAAUAAAGGACCUAGAAGAAUUUAG